UUAAACCAUUGAUAUCUCUAUUGCUGACACUGGGCUCUUUCAUCAGUCUUGAAGCUGGGCAAGCACAGGGCUUGUAGGCCUCUGGGGUGCAGCCCAACAAAUAUACACCAAAUUUUAUCAUAUUAUGGUUAAUACCCAAUGUUUAUAAAUGAGACCAUGCUUACAUGUUUUAUGUUUAUUCUGAUUUUUUACAUAAUGUUAUAUAGUGAUAAUUAUGCCAUUAUGUACUUUAAAAAACAAGAUAAAAUGUAUUUGUUUCUAAUAAUGGCAGAUAUGAAACUUAUUUGUGAAUUAUAGGCACAUAUAGGGAUUACUAAUCAGGACUUGAUUACAUCUUUCAACAUAAAGUACAUAAUUUGGAAGGACAGGUAAUGGAUUGAGGAUGGGAGAGCGAUGGUGCUAGUGUGUUAUAUCUAAGGAGAUUAAGACCAAUCCAAUAGUAUACGGUCAAUAGCUCAUUGAAUUAGACAUUAAACAUCCUGUGUUGUAGGCUAGGUGCUACCAGUAACUAACUAUAAUGUGGGUAAAUCAAUCAAUAGAAAAAUAAGAUUUUAAAUGGUUGCAUGCUCAUCCAUCCUGUAUAUAUACCAUAAUUUAAGUAAUUCCCUAUUAGACGAUUUAGGUUGAUUUCAGUUUGUCAAUAUUGAAACAAAUAAGAACAUGAUGUAUAUAAAUGAGUCCCUAACAUGCAAUCUUGGUCACCUACUUCUGAGAGACAGUUUACUGCUGUUGAUACCAAGCAAAGUCUUGCUGCCUGAAGCCCAUAGAAGCCAGUACUAUGGCACUGGCUUUUGAGAAAAGAAAGAGCUUUAUUUCGAGGUUGAUAGGCAAGCGAGGAGACACGGGGAAGGGCUCAACUCUGUCUCCUCCAUCCAGGGUUGGGGUAAAAUUUAAGCGGUUAGGGGAAUUUCAAACUUGGCAGAAGAUGAUUGGCUAGUCUCUAAUCAGUCCAUAUAUGGUAAUCCAGCUACUCAGGUUGCUGGAAGCUAGAUUUUUCUUAUUGAAGGACUUCUUGCUUUGUAAAGAGGUCAGGUGGCAACGUUUCUAUUCUUUGAGUUUCAUAUCCUUUUUUUUUUAAGGGUUUCUUUUUUUAAUUAAGUGUAACAGGCAAAAUUAUUUAAGUCAAUAAAUUUUUAAGGAAUUUCACAUGUUCUGAUUCUUUCCACUGCUCCGGGGUCAUCCUGGAGACGUGGGUUCCCAUCUCGCACAUGCGCAGGGCUGUCUCUGUAAAACAACUCCAGGUUUGAUUAAUCAACAACGCGUUUUAGGGAAACAAAACCAGUUUAAGCUGGUCAAUGUUUUACGUGUAGUUUCACUGCUGUUCUUCUGCCUCUUUUUUCAGUCCUUCGAUUUUGGUGCAAAUAUGGAAAGGCAGUGAUGCAUAGUGGACGAAAGGAGGUGGAUCUGAGAUUUGUUCUGCGGUCUCCUCGCUUGGCUGACUCCUGAGUAAACCCUCACUUCGCUGCAAACCUUGAUGUCUCGGUGUUUUCGCUCACUGUGCUCGAGCAGGAGGAACCUGGUUCGGUAACACCAAGGGGCGGAUUUGCCUCCUCCAGGUAAACUUAGAGCUGCCAUCUUGGUGUAGCCAGCAGUGCAUCGGUCUCACAACCUGAAGGUCUUGAGUUCAAGGGCUGAGUUUGACAUCCAGUGACCUGUUACACCCUAGGAUGAGAAGUCCAUCAUAGGGCAGGACAGAGAUGGAAAAAGCUGGAGUGUUGGUAUGUUAUGGGUUACAGUGGCUCAUGUACUGUUUCUGAAAAGGAAGGGAUCGCAUCCUGCUUCAAAUAUUCCAGUAAUAAAUUCCUAUCAUUGAAAAAAUGAAAGCCCUUUAAUUUCAGAAGAAUCAUGUGAGAUGUGAAAUGUUAAACAGCAGAGAGUUGGGUACACAUAUUUUACAAUCCAGAUUAUUUUCUGACUCAAAGAAUUAGGAGAGCAGAAAUAAUUUACCCAUGCUAUUUAUAUCAAAACCUAAGCCACCCUGGAGCCCUUUCCAUUUAAGACUGGGAAACAAAGAACACCUGAAUUUUGUAAUUAAACCGAUAAAAAGUCAACAUAAAAAGUAAAAUAGCAAUGAAGAUAAAUAUGAAAAAUAUAAUUGUGUAUUCUUUAAAAUUCAAGAAAAUGCUGACCAUAAAGAGUAGAUAAAAGAUAACACAAUGAAAUCAAAAGUUUUGAUAAAAAUGAAGAACAGAGUGAGAGAAAGGGAGGAAGAGGAAUCUCAUUGGGAUAUGAAAAUAUUAUAAGGAAAACUAAAAAGUUCCUAAAACUUGAUCUAUUUUUGAAUGAAAACUAUAUAAAUUAGAAUCAGUAUUAUAGAGGAAAACUGUAGGACUGUCACUUAUAAUCUAGAGAAUAAAGACUAAUAUUUAGAAUGAGAGAGCAUUAGUAUAUUAAAUAUGGGGUAUUAAUAAUAUGACAGCAAUAAAUAACAGAUACAAAAAAGAGAAUGAAAUGAAACAAAAUAUAACAUGUAUCCUUGAAAAUGAAAGGAAAGCUGACUUCAGGUAAUAUAAACAUGGAUAUCAGAGUGAGAGAAACAGCAAAAGUAAUUCUUGAGAAAGCACAAACAUACUAAGCAUAUAACAAUCUGGUUAUAAAAUAUAUGAUUUUAUCAGUAAAAAUGUAUUGAUAGACUCAAAUGUAUACAUGUAAUAGAAAUACCAAUGGUGAUUUAAAUUUGACAGAAUGAGGAAGGAUAAAUGAAUGAGAAUAUCCAAGAACAUAUUUUAAAAGAAAAAUAAUGUCAGUAAUUUUAUAUCAGAUAUAUGUAUUAUAACACUAUAAUAAAUAAGAUCUGAUUUGAGUGAAUGAAAUAAUACAGGUGUAGCUUAAUAAGUCAGAAUUUACAUAUCACUUAAUACCAGCUAGGUAUUAUUAUUAGCAUUUUACACAAAUAAACUCAUUUAACAUGCAUAAUAAUUCUUUCAUGUAUGCACUGGUAUUAGUUUUCUGUUGCUGCCAUGACAAAUUACCUCAAAUUUAGUGGCUUAAAACAACAAAGAUGUGUUAUCCACAGUUUCUAUAGGUCAGAUGUCAAACAAGACUUUUGCCAGCCUAAAAUCAAGGUGUCUUGGGGCUGUGUUCCUUACUGGUGGUUCUGGAGAAGAAUCCACCUCCAAAUUCAUUCGGAUUGUUGGCCAAAUUAAUUUCCUUGUGGUUGUAGGACUGAGGUCUCCAUUUCCUUGCUGGCUCUCAGCCAGGUAUCAUUUUCAGCUUCUAGAGGCUGCCCACAUUCCAUAACAUGUGUGUGGCCUCUUUUCCCAUUUUCAGAGCCAGCAAGCAUGGAAUGAGUCCUUCUUAUACCCAGAAUCUCUCUGACUUUCCCUGCAACUGCAUCUCUCUUCUGCUGCUUCUUUAGCCAAAUAUCUUUGACCACCUUCCUCCUCCUUUCUUCCUUUUCUGCUUUUAAGGGCUCUAGUUAUUACAUUAACCCCACCUGGAUAAUUCAGGAUAAUCUCUCUGUAACCUUAAUUCAUCUGCAAAGUCCCUUCAGAGCAGUAUCUAGGUUAGCAUUUGAUGGAAUAACUGGGAGGUGAGAAUCCUUGGGGAACAUCUUUAGAAUUUUCCCUGCCAUACUUCUAUUCUUACCUCAACUUUACAGAUGAGUAAACUAGGCACUAAGGGGUUAAAUAUCCACCAGAGACACAAAGGCAAAGGUAGAGCAGCUAGAUCCUGAACCUGAGUAUUCAGGCUCCACAGUAUGAUAUCCAUCACUGUAUUAUAAAGAAUUGUGUCAAGAAACAAAUCAUAACAGCACAUGUUCUAGAUAAUUCUAAUGAUAUCACAAAUAAGGAAAAUUACUAGAGCCCUAUGGCACAGCAUUCACCAACAUUAAUUCCAGAGGCACUAAAUAUUUAUAAGUAAAAGAUAACAUUUAAAAAUUACUUGAAGCAUCAGUGAAUUUCUAUUUCAUCUCCAAAUAAAAAAUGUAUAAAUAGCUAAAAGAAAAAAAGCAUAGAGAACAAAAACAUUGCUAACUUUAAAUAUAUUAAAUUUAUAAAUAUUUCCAAACCUACGAAAAUGGGAGCAAAUCCCUUUGUAAAAGUAAUCUCUAGGUAAAAGCUCUUAAUAAAAUGAAAAUAUAAAGGUAUUGUCUUCUUCAGUAGAAUGCUACCAAAUACCUUACAUCAGAUUUCAUUCUUAAAGGUGAGAUAUUAGUAGCAUUCUCUUUAAAGUCAGGCAUAAGAAAAGAAUGCCUUCCAUCACUGCAUAUAUUGAACAUCAUAAGGGAGGCGCUGGUAAGCACAGAAAGUAAAAAAUCAAAUGAAAAAAGAAAUAUUAAUCUCAAAUAAGGAAAACUGUCAUAAUUUGCUGGCAAGAUAAUUACCUACGAAACCCAAGAGACUUGAUUAGAAACAAUUAAAAAAAAAAAGAGGUCCAUAUGUUUUCUGGACUAAUACAAAGGCAAUUUACACAAAUCAAUUUUAUUUCUAAACACCAGCAUAAACAAUUAGAAAAAGUUACAAAUGAAAAAGGGAUUUUCCUAUUGUCUUUAAAUUCUGGCUAAGGCAAAAGAAAGGGAAGAGCAAUGUGCACCCCCUGAGCAAGAUGGCCUUAAUCUCCCCCUCAGCUCGAUUAAAUUUUAGACAAGUUUCUUCCUGACUCAAGGCCCUGACCUCCCUUCACUUAAAACAUUUACUUUAGUAAAAAGUGUACUUGUAAAUUCUUCCCCUGCCACGUUGACAUGUAAAUCUUUUUAAAAGCCUCUUGCCAGUUUUACAACCUAAACUGUCUUUCUCAAGGAUCUGGGAGCCAACCUUCAAAAUGUAAUCACCAAGGAAGAUAGAGCAACUAUCUCCCAGUCUCUCUGUGGGAGGACGGAGCCUGACUUCAGUGGGAGCCUUGCUCCAAGUUGUAAAACUCUUUCCUCUUAUGAAGAGAAGAGAAAGUUUACUCUUCCCUUGGGCAAAGCCAAUUAGCAAACACAGGUGGCCUAAGACUCCCCAACUCCAGGUCUUAAAAACUCUCCAGCCCUUUAUUUCAGACUGGGCUCUGGCCUCUCUUCCCUAUUGCAAUAGUCUUGAAUAAAUCUUCCUUGCCUGUUUAACUUUGUCCAAUGAAAUCUUUGCUUUGACACCACCCUUACUUUGGAGAGGGAAGGGAAACCCAGAAGUUGCAGAGAGGUUGGGAAAGUAACGAACAAGGAAGGAACAGUAAAAGAAUCUUCUAUUCCAGGUCUCCAAGGCGUAAGUCAGCCCUGAGGUAGGGAAAGGGAAAAUCUAUGACCUGAGAGUGAGAUUUAAAUUUUCAAUUGAACUAUUAGAACCAUCAUUUUAAUACUGAAUAGUGAGUUGUAAUUACUGAGAUAAAAUCUGUUUUGUAAUUGUCACUGAAAGUGUUCUGAAAGGGAUGGCUUUUGUCUCAGGAGCUAUUCAAGGGGCGGGGGAGGAGGGAAGGAGAUCAAACAGUUUAAGGGCAGUUGUUGGAUGAAAAUAUAGAUGCUUCCUGAUUUAUUCUUCCAAGUUCAGUACUUUAAGCAGAUACUUAAAUAACUUUUAAAAAGUAUACUACCUACAGUACUAACACAGACAAUUAAGUACCUAAAAUAACUAACAACAUAUGUGUAGGACUUUAUUAAAAGAAAAUAAACCACAAUAAAUGAAACGGCAUAAUGUAUUAUUUUGAGACAGUAUUUGUAUAUUAUCCCCCAAACACAUUUUUAGUAUUUAAAAUUCAAAUUAGAUUACUAACGUUUCUUCUACCUUUUAUACUUAUUAAUCUAAAAGUGCAAUCCAGGUAGAUUAAAGAAUUAAAUGUAAAAAGCAAAAUUUAUGGAAUAAAGUGCAGUUGAUCCUUGAACAACAAACAUGGGGGGCUGGUUAGGGGAGCUGAUGUCCUGUGCCACCGAAAAUCCAUGUAGAUUUUUACAGUCGGCUCUCUGCAUCUGUGGUUCCACAUCCACAGAUUCAACCAAUUGUGGAUGUUGUAGUCCUACAGUAUAUAUUUACUGGAAAAAAAAAUCGGCAUAUAAUUAGAUCCAUGCUGUUCAGACCUGUGUUGUUCAAGGGUGAACUGUAUAGGAAUAUAUCUUAAUCAUAUCGAGUAAGGGAAGAUGUUUUAAUGAAAGAUGUGAAAACUGCAAAUCCUAUAAGAAAAGAUUAGUAAGAUUGAAUACAUCAAAAAUUAGAAUGUUCACUCAAGAAAAAACAUGAACAAGGAAUAAGGAUCAGACACUGUGAGAACACAAUUUCCACAGACUCCCAUUACCGUUUCUACACACCUACAGCAUUUGCCCCGACUUCAUGGCUCAAAGGGCGUUAUUCUUAUUCCUAUGUAAAACCAAAUUCUAUACAUCUGCACUAAAUUUCAUACUGCCAUUUUUUUAACACCUUUAUUAGAGUAUAAUUGCUUUACAGUGGUGUGUUAGUUUCUGCUGUAUAACAAAGUGAAUCAGCUAUACAUAUACAUAUAUCCCCAUAUCUCCUCUCUCUUGCGUCUCCCUCCCACCCUCCCUAUCCCACCCCACUAGGUGGUCACAGAGCACCGAGCUGAUCUCCCUGUGCUAUGCAGCUGCUUCCCACUAGCUAUCUAUUUUAUAUUUGGUAGUGUAUAUAUGUCCAUGCUACUCUCUCACUUCGUCCCAGCUUACCCUUCCCCCUCCCCGUGUCCUCAAGUCCAUUCUCUACGUCUGCGUCUUUAUUCCUGUCCUGCCCCUAGGUUCUUCAGAACCACGUUUUUUUCUUUAGAUUCCAUAUAUAUGGAAUCUUGCUUUUUUAAUUGACACAUUCAAAUGCCUGCUCUCUACUAGGUACUUCUCAUUAGCUUACAGAUAGACUGUAUUGCUCCCAUUCUAAGUAUGAAAUGAAAUAUAAAGUUUCACUUAAACCCACUUUCCCUGCCUGCUAUUUACCCAUUGUUUCCCUCCCAUUUUACAGUAAAAAUAACUUGUCUACCCUCCUUUCCUCCACUCCAAUUCUCACUUAAACCCAGUGCAAUUAGGCUAUUGCUCCACAGACGCCGUGGUCAUGGCGUCCACAUUGUUAAAUCAGUGGCACACUUGACUUGCAAUUAGUAUUUGUCACAGCUGCCCAAGCUCUUCUCUUUGACUCACCUUCUUCCAUUUUUCCUGACUUUCCUCAUACCUCACUUUUCACCCCUUUUACAGCUUCCUUUGCUGUCUCUUCCCUCCUUUCUUUCCUUUCAGUGUUAAAGUGGCCCAGAGCUCACUGCAUGUUCUCCUAUGUUCCCUUUGGGAUCUCAUUCAUUCCCAGCGCUUUAAGUACUACUUCUGUGCCGGCAAUUCUAAGAUUUACAUCUCCAACUCAGAUUUUUCUCCUGAAAUCCAGACUUGUAUAUAUAAUCGCCAACAUCACAUCAGAAUAAAUGUCUAAUCAAUGAUCCUUUCAGCGAUACCUUUAAAAUAUUUCCAGAGCCUGAUUUUUUCUGACCACCUUCACUACUUCUCUCGUAGUCUAAAAGGCUACAUUAUCUCUCCUCUGAUUUCUAUAAUAUUUCCUAACUUGUCUUUCUGUUUUUACUUUGCCUCCUUCACAAGCUAUUCUCAAGACAGUAGCCAAACAGAUAACUAAUAAGGACCUACUGUAUAGCACAGGGAACUCUACUCUAUACUCUGUAAUGACCUAUAUGGGAAAAGAAGCUAAAAAAGAGUGGAUAUAUGUGUUUGUAUCACUGAUUCACUUUGCUGUACACCUGAAACUAACUCAACAUUGUAAAUCAGCUACACUCCAAUAAAAAUUACAAAAAAAAAAAAAGACAGUAGCCAGAGUCAAGUCAU